rnacentral:rRNA from 1 species
GACGAACGCUGGCGGCGUGCUUAACACAUGCAAGUCGAACGGAAAGGCCCUGCUUUUGUGGGGUGCUCGAGUGGCGAACGGGUGAGUAACACGUGAGUAACCUGCCCUUGACUUUGGGAUAACUUCAGGAAACUGGGGCUAAUACCGGAUAGGAGCUCCUGCUGCAUGGUGGGGGUUGGAAAGUUUCGGCGGUUGGGGAUGGACUCGCGGCUUAUCGGCUUGUUGGUGGGGUAGUGGCUUACCAAGGCUUUGACGGGUAGCCGGCCUGAGAGGGUGACCGGCCACAUGGGGACUGAGAGACGGCCCAGACUCCUACGGGAGGCAGCAGUGGGGAAUAUUGCACAAUGGGCGGAAGCCUGAUGCAGCAACGCCGCGUGCGGGAUGACGGCCUUCGGGUUGUAAACCGCUUUCGCCUGUGACGAAGCGUGAGUGACGGUAAUGGGUAAAGAAGCACCGGCUAACUACGUG